rnacentral:rRNA from 1 species
AGCUGAGCAGCACGCCGCGUGCGGGAUGACGGCCUUCGGGUUGUAAACCGCUUUCAGCAGGGACGAAGCAACACGUGACGGUACCUGCAGAAGAAGCACCGGCCAACUACGUGCCAGCAGCCGCGGUGAUACGUAGGGUGCGAGCGUUGUCCGGAAUUAUUGGGCGUAAAGAGCUUGUAGGCGGUUUGUUACGUCGAAAGUGAAAACUCAGGGCUCAACCCUGAGCCUGCUCUCGAUACGGGCAGACUAGAGGAAUGUAGGGGAGAACGGAAUUCUUGGUGGAGCGGUGGAAUGCGCAGAUAUCAGGAGGAACACCGGUGGCGAAGGCGGUUCUCUGGACAUUUCCUGACGCUGAGAAGCGAAAGCGUGGGUAGCAAACAGGCUUAGAUACCCUGGUAGUCCACGCCGUAAACGGUGGGUACUAGGUGUGGGGGACAUUCCACGUUCUCCGUGCCGUAGCUAACGCAUUAAGUACCCCGCCUGGGGAGUACGGCCGCAAGGCUAAA